rnacentral:rRNA from 1 species
ACAAGCUGUUAAGAGCAUAUGGUGGAUGCCUUGGUGCUAAUAGGCGAUGAAGGACGUGAUAAGCUGCGAUAAGCUUCGGAUAGCGGCAAAUACGCUUUGACCCGGAGAUUUCCGAAUGGGGUAACCUGGCUGGGGUAAUACUCAGUCGUUCUACUCUGAAUUAAUAGGAGUAGAUACGCAAUACCCGGUGAAGUGAAACAUCUCAGUAACCGGAGGAAAAGAAAGAGAAUCGAUUCCGUAAGUAGUGGCGAGCGAAAGCGGAAGAGCCCAAACCGAGGCCAUUGGUCUCGGGGUUGUAGGACUCCAAUGUGGGACUGUCAAAGUUAGGUUAAGUGUGUGGAAAAGCACUCCAGAGAAGGUGAAAGGCCUGUGACCGAAAACUGCGACAGCCUUAGGAUGUUCCUGAGUAGUGCCGCACACGUGAAACGUGGCAUGAAUCUGCGCCGACCACGGCGUAAGGCUAAAUACUAAUUAGCGACCGAUAGUGAACCAGUACCGUGAGGGAAAGGUGAAAAGUACCGCUGUGAGCGGAGUGAAAUAGAACCUGAAACCAUAUGCUUACAAGGUGUCAAAGCCCCUUCGGGGGUGAUGGCGUGCCUUUUGCUUAAUGAGUCUGCGAGUUAGUGUUUGUAGCAAGCUUAAGCCCUUCUGGGGUGCAGGCGUAGCGAAAGCGAGUCCGAAUAGGGCGAUAUAGUUGCAGGUGCUAGACCCGAAGCGGAGGUGACCUACCUAUGGCCAGGUUGAAGCGUCGGUAAUACGACGUGGAGGACCGAACCGAUGUGUGUUGAAAAACGCUCGGAUGAGCUGUGGGUAGGAGUGAAAGGCUAAUCAAACCCCGUGAUAGCUGGUUCUCCUCGAAAUGUAUUUAGGUACAGCGUCAUAUGCUGACCAAGGGGGGUAGAGCACUGAAUGAACUAGGGCCCAUACCCGGGUACCGACUUCAAUCAAACUCCGAAUACCCUUGGGUGAAGUAUGGCAGUGAGAAUAUGGGGGAUAAACUUCAUACUCGAAAGGGAAACAGCCCAGAUCAGCAGCUAAGGUGCCAAAAUAACGCUAAGUGGAAAGGAGGUGGGAUUACUUAGACAGUGAGGAUGUUGGCUUAGAAGCAGCCACCAUUUAAAAAGUGCGUAAUAGCUUACUCAUCGAGUGAUCCUGCGCCUAAAAUGAUUGGCGAUAAGCGUUAUACCGAAGCUCUGGAUGCAUACAUUAAAUUGUAUGUGUGGUAGAGGAGCGUUCUCAGAGCCUUGAAGCCGGAUGGUGAUUGAAGGUGGAGUUCUGAGAAGUGAGAAUGCAGACAUGAGUAACGAGAGGGAGGUGAAAUUCCUCCCCGCCGUAAACCCGAGGUUUCCUGGGCAAUGUUCGUCAUCCCAGGGUUAGUCGGGACCUAAGCCGAGGCCGAUAGGCGUAGGCGAUGGUUAGCAGGUUAAUAUUCCUGCACUUCCUGAACCCAAAGCACUAGGGACACAGGCUGGAAAGAUACUAGGUAAUUGAAUUCCGAGGUGAGGCUACGGCCGAUCCGCAUAUCUGGAAAGACUGUCAAGAAAAGCUAGUGUGUAGUGCUAAAGGAACCCGUACCGUAAACCAACACAGGUGGGUGGGUAGAAUAUACCAAGGCGAAAGAGUGAAACCUGGUUAAGGAACUCGGCAAAAUAGCCCCGUAACUUCGGAAUAAGGGGUGCCCACUAUAUGUGGGCCGCAGUGAAAGGGGACAACCGACUGUUUAGCAAAAACACAGCAUUCUGCUAAGAUGAAAAUCGAAGUAUAGGAUGUGACACGUGACCAAUGCCGAAAGAUUAAGGUAAGAUGUUAGCUCUUGUAGCGAAGCUUUGAACCCAAGUCCCGGUGAAUGUCGGCCGUAACUAUAACGGUCCUAAGGUAGCGAAAUUCCUUGUCGGGUAAGUUCCGACCUGCACGAAUC